rnacentral:rRNA from 1 species
AUUGAACGCUGGCGGCAGGCCUAACACAUGCAAGUCGAACGAGUGGCGGACGGGUGAGUAAUGCCUGGGAAACUGCCCGAGGGAGGGGGAUAACUACUGGAAACGGUAGCUACGACCGCAUACCCUCGGAUGUGCCCAGAUGGGGUUAGCUAGUGGGUGGGGUAACGGCUCACCCGGGCGACGAUCCCUCGCUGGUCUGAGAGGAUGACCAGCCACACUGGAACUGAGACACGGUCCAGACUCCUACGGGAGGCAGCAGUGGGGAAUAUUGCACAAUGGGCGCAAGCCUGAUGCAGCCAUGCCGCGUGUAUGAAGAAGGCCUUCGGGUUGUAAAGUACUUUCAGCGAGGAGGCGUUACUCGCAGAAGAAGCACCGGCUAACUCCGUGCCAGCAGCCGCGGUAAUUC